rnacentral:rRNA from 1 species
GACGAACGCUGGCGGCGUGCUUAACACAUGCAAGUCGAACGGAAAGGCCCUGCUUUUGUGGGGUGCUCGAGUGGCGAACGGGUGAGUAACACGUGAGUAACCUGCCCUUGACUUUGGGAUAACUUCAGGAAACUGGGGCUAAUACCGGAUAGGAGCUCCUGCUGCAUGGUGGGGGUUGGAAAGUUUCGGCGGUUGGGGAUGGACUCGCGGCUUAUCAGCUUGUUGGUGGGGUAGUGGCUUACCAAGGCUUUGACGGGUAGCCGGCCUGAGAGGGUGACCGGCCACAUUGGAACUGAGAUACGGCCCAGACUCCUACGGGAGGCAGCAGUGGAGAAUAGUGCACAAUGGGCUGAAGCCUGGUGCAGCAACGCCGCGUGCGGGGUGACGGCCUUCGGGUUGUAAACCGCUUUCGCCUGUGACGAAGCGUGAGUGACGGUAAUGGGUAAAGAAGCACCGGCUAACUACGUG